GGGUGAGUAACGCGUAGAUAACCUACCCUCGAGUCUGGAAUAACCCUCCGAAAGGAUGGCUAAUACCGGAUAAUACGAAAGAAUGAGUGUUUUUUUGUUGAAAGAUUUAUUGCUUGGGGAUGGGUCUGCGUUCCAUUAGCUAGAUGGUGAGGUAACGGCUCACCAUGGCGACGAUGGAUAGCGGGUCUGAGAGGAUGAUCCGCCACACUGGCACUGAGAUACGGGCCAGACUCC
rnacentral:rRNA from 1 species